UACGUAGGGCGCGAGCGUUGUCCGGAUUUAUUGGGCGUAAAGAGCUCGUAGGCGGCUUGUCGCGUCGACUGUGAAAACCCGUGGCUCAACCAUGUGGUCUGCAGUCGAUACGGGCAGGCUAGAAUUCGGUAGGGGAGACUGGAAUUCCUGGUGUAGCGGUGAAAUGCGCAGAUAUCAGGAGGAACACCGGUGGCGAAGGCGGGUCUCUGGGCCGAUAUUGACGCUGAGGAGCGAAAGCCAGGGGAGCAAACGGG
rnacentral:rRNA from 1 species